rnacentral:sRNA from 1 species
AUUGAACUUUAUCAUUUGCUUAGUUCACUGCUAAAUCAAACUGUUUAAUACUUUUUUCUAAUAGUAAAAACAUACCGAAGAUUGAGAAGCACUGGUUUAGAAAAAAUAUGUAAAUAUAUAAAAUGUAAUAGACUGGAAAUCAUCAGAAAAUUGGAACUGAUUCCAUUUGUAAGAACAGAAACAUAAAAUAAGUUUUAAACUUAUAAAACUUUUAUUUUAAAAUUACUACAAACCUCAAUGUAGGUUAUAAAAGAAGACUUCAAUAAAUGGAAAAACACACCAUACUUCCUGGGAUGAAAAGACUCAAUGCUGUGCCUUGCAGGCAUUUGUAUACAUAGAGGAAACUAUUUUCAAAGCUGAGCUGCACUUUUGGUCCCCUCAAGAGUGGCAAAAAUAAAAGCCAAGCCCAGGGCCUCCAGAAGUGAGAUCUCUGCCAACAAAUGGAAUUUUCUUGAGCAUGUUUCUAAUCGUUUUGCCAUUGGAAUCCAUGGCUCAUGGGCUCUUCCAUGAAUUGGGUAACUGUUUAGGAGGAACAUCUGUUGGAUAUGCUAUUGUGAUUCCCACCAACUUCUGCAGUCCUGAUGGUCAGCCAACACUGCUUCCCCCAGAACAUGUAC